rnacentral:misc_RNA from 1 species
UCUCAAUUUUAUUAGCUCAAAUCAGUUGUCAACCAUACCAUAAGUCUCUCAAAUAAAAUACUUAAGACAUAGGUAUUUAUAGUUUACCAACUACUCCUAUUAGUAACUAAUUAGGAAUACUAAACCAAAACAUAUUAGGAAUAUUGAACAAACUCAAACUAGAAAAAUAUUAAACCUGAUAUUCCUAAAUAAUAAUAAUAAUAGAAUUCCUAAA